ensembl:lncRNA
GUCGCGUUGAAUGAAAUGGAGAUUGAUGUAGAACGGCGCUACACUAUUGUAACAGGUUUGUGUUUGACUCACCCACGUACGAUGACUCUUCGUCACGUUUUCACGUAUCCGGUUAAAGGCUCUGCACUUGGUUCGGACAGUCAUCGCAGACGUCGCCGCUCACGUGCGAUUAAGUCGGGUCAUAUUUUUUUUUAACAUCCUUCUAAGCGAUACGAACAACUCGUGUCGAAAAUGAUCCGGUGUUUGUUUUCUCACUUCUCGAAACCCCGUCAGACGACGCACAGGACGACUGCUGUGUUUACUGUAAUGGCGUCUUUGACGCUUUUUGAACAGGUUGAAAUGGACUAUUUGAUUCAGAUUCAGAUUCAGUCAAAACAGUUCGAAAGGAUUCAGAAUCUGAAUCGUUUUAUUCACCGUUCACAUUUACACGUAUUGGGAACUGUUCCUCGGUGUUUGGUCGCGACGCGUUACGCUCGACACGCACAUCUCGGACGACGCGACGCGCUGACCCUCGCGAUAUACAAGUCAUCGCACCCGAUAUGCAAAUAUUACACGGAUAUUAAUCGGAAAGGGUUCGGUUUACAUUAAAGUGGAGGUAGAAAUAGCAGCUGGAUGCGGUUCGGGGUUAUUAAACAGAGGAGAAUUGUGAUAUAUAAUAAAUAAUACGAAUGAUAUAUAGUUUGUAAAAACAUUUAAUGCGGAUUGCUCAUUACCGGCAGGUCAGGAUUACUAAAGGGGGUCUAGACAUGCUGGUUAAUAACCGAAAUUCCCAGUGGAAAGAAGCUGUUUCGAUGGCAUGCAGUUAUCACGGAGCGGAGUCACUUUCCUAAUGAAGGAGGCUGCACUAGACCAGACAGUGAUGGCAGACGUAUACGAUGCUUUCUAUAAUGGCAGAAUGGAAUUGCAUCAGCAUAACCCGGGGUAGACGGGACUUCUCCAACUGGCGUAAGAAAUGCAUCCUUUCCUGAACUUCCGUAUUGAUGGAUGGUUGGUCCGGCUACACCAGGAGGCUAGUUGUCGAACCUCGAGGUGGUACUCCGGCACGCCGUUGGUGAUGAGACCGAAUCACAGUAACGCCAUCUGCGACUUCGCAGACGCAUCACUGAAAGCACAGUCGUACGUGUAGAUUGAAUAUGAGGAGGGUGAGAGGACGCAACCUCGCGGUGCUCCAGUGCCGAGCGAACGGGGUUCAGAGGCGUUCUGACCGACGCUCACAAACCGCUUCCUGUCAGUAAGGACGUUUGUGAUGAGGUUCUCUUGAAUGCCCUGCUUGACUUGAAAAACUGGAAGAAAAAUCUACAAAUAUAUACAACCUCUUAUUAACUAUAUAAAUGAAUAAAUGUGUGUGUGUUGCCCUGUGAUGAAAUAUCCCACCCAGGAUGUAUUCCUGCCUCAUGACAAAGUAUUCCUGGGAAAGUCUCCAGAUCCACCGCAGUCUCGAAGACGGAUGAAUGAAAGAAUGAGUGUAAUUAAUGACAAAAAAUAAAACUACACGGUUUUUAUACAUCGCUACACAAUACAUAGCACGAAGUCCUUGCUUUGUCCGUGUUGCUAUGGUUUAAUAAAUAAACACUGGAAUCAACGCACAUUACUCACACAUGACAGGACGGUAUAAUCACGGGCAACGAUCAACACGCUUCAUUAAGAUCCGGUGCAAAUCAUAAAUUAUAACCCAAAUUAUACCGUACACAUGACAACGACUCUCGUCAUAAACCCUUUUCAGAGUCACACGUCCCAUCCGUGACGUGUUUGAACUUCGG